AUGUCUGGGUACAUCGCUUCCUCGUCCGCGGCGUUCCUCUUGCUCGUGGCCUCCUCCUCCUCCUCCACGUCGCCGCGGCGCCUGCGGAGCAGCGCACUGCGCUCAUACGGUGCCGCCGGUACGCCGCUGCAUUGGGCGCGGCGAGGAUUUUCUCGGGACGGAUUGGUGCCGUGCCGCCGCGGCUCAGCAGGGGAGAGCUCGAGGCAGGGAGUCUCUGGGCAGCGCGGCAAGCUCAAGGCUGCUGAAAAUGAGGAUGCUGUUUCACAAAAAGCAGCUGCAUCUGCACCCAGGCUAAACAGUAGCGCUGCAGAGCAAAAUGGGGCAGCUGGAAGCAAAUCCGAAGUCGACCCGUCAGCUCCUCUCUCGGCGGCGGCAUCAGGUUAUUGGAAAGACGUCGUUGUCGCUGAACAAGUUGGGGCUAAGGUUGAUACCGGUGGAGAUGCAGCAGAAGUGUCGAGUUCUCCGGUUGACAGUAAGAACAUGGGGCCUGGCCCUUUGGCUGGCCCAAAUGUGAUGAAUGUCAUCGUUGUGGCUUCUGAAUGUGCUCCUUUCUGUAAAACAGGUGGGCUUGGAGAUGUCGUGGGUGCUUUGCCCAAGGCUCUGGCAAGAAGAGGGCAUCGUGUUAUGGUUGUGAUACCAAAGUAUGGAGAUUACGCAGAAGCUCGUGAUCUAGGUGUUCGCAAACGUUACAAGGUAGCUGGCCAGGAUUCAGAAGUGAGUUAUUUCCACUCUUAUAUCGAUGGAGUUGAUUUUGUAUUCUUAGAGGCCCCGCCCUUCCGCCACCGGCACAAUGAUAUUUAUGGAGGAGAAAGACCGGAUGUGCUGAAGCGCAUGAUUUUGUUCUGCAAGGCUGCUGUCGAGGUUCCUUGGUACGCUCCAUGUGGUGGUACUAUCUACGGUGAUGGCAAUUUAGUCUUCAUUGCAAACGAUUGGCAUACUGCACUUCUACCUGUUUAUCUAAAGGCGUAUUACCGAGACAAUGGCCUGAUGCAGUAUACUCGUUCUGUUCUCGUGAUCCAUAACAUUGCUCAUCAGGGACGUGGCCCUGUAGAUGACUUCAACAUCAUGGACUUGCCUGCGCACUACAUCGAUCACUUCAAACUGCAUGAUCCCCUUGGUGGCGAGCACAACAACGUGUUCGCUGCUGGCCUGAAGAUGGCAGACCGGGUGGUCACCGUCAGCCAUGGCUACAUGUGGGAGCUGAAGACGACGGAAGGCGGCUGGGGCCUUCACGACAUAAUAAACCAGAACGACUGGAAACUGGACGGCAUCGUGAACGGCAUCGACACGGCCGAGUGGAACCCCGCGGUCGACGUGCACCUGCACUCCGACGACUACACCAACUACACCCGAGACACGCUGGACACCGGCAAGCGGCAGUGCAAGGCGGCCCUGCAGCGCGAGCUGGGCCUGCAGGUGCGCGACGGCGUGCCGCUCAUCGGGUUCAUCGGGCGGCUGGACCACCAGAAGGGCGUGGACAUCAUCGCGGCGGCGAUGCCGUGGAUCGCGCAGCAGGACGUGCAGCUCGUGAUGCUGGGCACGGGGCGGCCGGACCUGGAGGACAUGCUGCGGCGGUUCGAGGGGGAGCACCGGGACAAGGUGCGCGGGUGGGUGGGGUUCUCGGUGCGGAUGGCGCACCGGAUCACGGCGGGCGCGGACGUCCUGCUGAUGCCGUCGCUGUUCGAGCCGUGCGGGCUGAACCAGCUGUACGCGAUGGCGUACGGGACCGUGCCCGUGGUGCACGCCGUCGGCGGGCUCCGGGACACGGUGGCGCCGUUCGACCCGUUCGGCGGCACCGGGCUGGGGUGGACGUUCGACCGCGCGGACGCCGGCAGGAUGAUCGACGCGCUCGGGCACUGCCUCAACACGUACUGGAACUACAAGGAGAGCUGGAGGGGCCUGCAGGUCCGCGGAAUGUCUCAGGACCUCAGCUGGGACCACGCCGCCGAGCUCUACGAGAAUGUCCUCGUCAAGGCCAAGUACCAGUGGUGA
rnacentral:rRNA from 1 species